rnacentral:rRNA from 1 species
GACGAACGCUGGCGGCGUGCUUAACACAUGCAAGUCGAACGGAAAGGCCCUGCUUUUGUGGGGUGCUCGAGUGGCGAACGGGUGAGUAACACGUGAGUAACCUGCCCUUGACUUUGGGAUAACUUCAGGAAACUGGGGCUAAUACCGGAUAGGAGCUCCUGCUGCAUGGUGGGGGUUGGAAAGUUUCGGCGGUUGGGGAUGGGCUCGCGGCUUAUCAGCUUGUUGGUGGGGUAGUGGCUUACCAAGGCUUUGACGGGUAGCCGGCCUGAGAGGGUGACCGGCCACAUUGGGACUGAGAUACGGCCCAGACUCCUGCGGGAGGCAGCAGUGGGGAAUAUUGCACAAUGGGCGGAAGCCUGAUGCAGCAACGCCGCGUGCGGGAUGACGGCCUUCGGGUUGUAAACCGCUUUCGCCUGUGACGAAGCGUGAGUGACGGUAAUGGGUAAAGAAGCACCGGCUAACUACGUG